UACAGAGACUGCAAGCGUUAUUCGGAUUCACUGGGCGUAAAGGGUGCGCAGGCGGCCAUGUGUGUCAGGUGUGAAAGCCCGAGGCUCAACCUCGGAAUUGCGCCUGAAACUACAUGGCUAGAGUACUGGAGAGGGUAGCGGAAUUCAUGGUGUAGCAGUGAAAUGCGUAGAUAUCAUGAGGAACACCCGUGGCGAAAGCGGCUCUCUGGAACGGUACUGACGCUGAGACGCGAAAGCGUGGGGAGCGAACAGG
rnacentral:rRNA from 1 species